GCGUGCAAAGUUUUUCGUCUGUAACGUAUAAUAUCAAAACAUUAUGAGCUCAGAAUAUACGGCUCGUUAAAAAUAAUUAAAAAUAUUAUGAGGUUUAGUGUGUAACAAAAAAUAUUAUUUUAUUUUAAGAACGAAAUGAUAACACACUCUGUUAACAUGUUUAGAAAUUGCUCAGUAGUUCAUGAUCUAUCAACGAGUAAAGAUUACAGUACAAUAUUAUAUAAAUUUGUAAAUAUUCUGAAAAAAAGCAAAUUCUUGAACUAAAACAGCAAUAGUUAUCAGGAGCAAAAAUAUCAAAAAUAAUAAGAAAAGAUC
rnacentral:misc_RNA from 1 species